rnacentral:lncRNA from 1 species
CUCCCAACUGCCUUCAGACUGGCGCUGCUGGACUUAAACAGAUUUUUGCUCAACUCUGAAAGUGUUUGCUCUUGCCUCAGUUUCCCUUUUAACAGGAGAUACUAUAGCACAGUUCCUGGCUCAGCAAAUGUUACCUAUUUUUAAUGCCCAUGUCUGUGAUCUUUUAAAAAAAUGUACACAAACAUUUAUAUAGCAGUUUCAAAAGUAAACGUAAUAGUUACAGUAUUCACAACAACAAACAUGCACACACACAGAAGCAUGGAAGGGAGGAACUGCAUUAAAAUCAUAACUGUGCUUACUUUCAGAGUGGAUUAUUGCUGAUCCAUCUUUCUACCAUGCUUGUCUUUAUUCCUACAGUGAACAUGAAUUACUUUUGUAAUAAGAAACACAUUAUUCUUUACAGAGCUGCAGGAAUCAAUCCCAAGAAGAUCUGCUAUCUGUCCUUUUUCUCAUACCUCCUCAAACAUGGAUUCAAGAAGCUCCAACAUCAGCCCUUGUUCUCACUGCCCCCGACCCCCGCCAUGUGGAUUCAUUUAAAUUGGGGACUUUAUGGCCACCCCUCCUGGUUCUUUCUGGGCAGAGGGAGAAGCACAUUUGCAUUCUGGACAUGA